UUAGGUCGGGAACUCAAAGGAGACUGCCAGUGAUAAACUGGAGGAAGGUGGGGAUGACGUCAAGUCAUCAUGGCCCUUACGACCAGGGCUACACACGUGCUACAAUGGCGCAUACAAAGAGAAGCGACCUCGCGAGAGCAAGCGGACCUCAUAAAGUGCGUCGUAGUCCGGAUUGGAGUCUGCAACUCGACUCCAUGAAGUCGGAAUCGCUAGUAAUCGUGGAUCAGAAUGCCACGGUGAAUACGUUCCCGGGCCUUGUACACACCGCCCGUCACACCAUGGGAGUGGGUUGCAAAAGAAGUAGGUAGCUUAACCUUCGGGAGGGCGCUUACCACUUUGUGAUUCAUGACUGGGGUGAAGUCGUAACAAGGUAACCGUAGGGGAACCUGC
rnacentral:rRNA from 14 species